rnacentral:rRNA from 1 species
CGUAAUCCGGGUUGCGGACAGUGUCUGGUGGGUAGUUUGACUGGGGCGGUCUCCUCCUAAAGAGUAACGGAGGAGCACGAAGGUUGGCUAAUCCUGGUCGGACAUCAGGAGGUUAGUGCAAUGGCAUAAGCCAGCUUGACUGCGAGCGUGACGGCGCGAGCAGGUGCGAAAGCAGGUCAUAGUGAUCCGGUGGUUCUGAAUGGAAGGGCCAUCGCUCAACGGAUAAAAGGUACUCCGGGGAUAACAGGCUGAUACCGCCCAAGAGUUCAUAUCGACGGCGGUGUUUGGCACCUCGAUGUCGGCUCAUCACAUCCUGGGGCUGAAGUAGGUCCCAAGGGUAUGGCUGUUCGCCAUUUAAAGUGGUACGCGAGCUGGGUUUAGAACGUCGUGAGACAGUUCGGUCCCUAUCUGCCGUGGGCGCUGGAGAACUGAGGGGGGCUGCUCCUAGUACGAGAGGACCGGAGUGGACGCAUCACUGGUGUUCGGGUUGUCAUGCCAAUGGCACUGCCCGGUAGCUAAAUGCGGAAGAGAUAAGUGCUGAAAGCAUCUAAGCACGAAACUUGCCCCGAGAUGAGUUCUCCCUGAGACUUAGAGUCUCCUGAAGGAACGUUG